UACAGAGGUCUCAAGCGUUGUUCGGAUUCAUUGGGCGUAAAGGGUGCGUAGGCGGCGCGGUAAGUCGGGUGUGAAAUCUCGGGGCCUAACUCCGAAACUGCAUUCGAUACUGCCGUGCUUGAGGACUGGAGAGGAGACUGGAAUUUACGGUGUAGCGGUGAAAUGCGUAGAUAUCGUAAGGAAGACCAGUGGCGAAGGCGGGUCUCUGGGCAGUAACUGACGCUGAGGAGCGAAAGCGUGGGUAGCGAACAGG
rnacentral:rRNA from 1 species